AGGAGCCGGGAAAGCGCCAGGUGGAUCGGAGCUGCUUGGAACGUAACCUUGCUGUUCUGUUUCCGGGCUGCCGGCGUUGUGCUUCGUGGCACAGAGCAAAGGCCGGGAAAAUAUUUGGAUCGGUUACUCCGCGAUUUGCUCUCAGCCGAUCGCGGCCCAGCGGCUGCGAACCUGCAGUCGCUCCCGCCGACCACCAGGUGGCGCCGCUGUUCCAGCCCGCGGCAUGCCGAUUUCAGGCACGCCGAUAGCGGUGCGACAUUCCAACCUGAGGUUUUCUCACCUGUCUGUUUUCUGUCUGUGAUUUGUACCCACAGCGCUUCAUUCCACCUGAAGAAAGUGGAGGUGAAAACUCGAGCCUCUUGAUGUAUUUCCCAUAGGAGUGCAUAGACGGAAAAAGAAUGCUGAAAUUAGAAACAAAGAUAAAAAAAUUGAUGUUAAAGGAAGUAAUAAGUGCUGAACUGUCUGGGAGUUCCCAGGUAAUAAGUUAAGCAUCCUGAUAACACAACAGAUGGGCUUCAGUAACUGGAAGUCAGUUGUAUCUUCCGAAGCCUUUCUGCGCCUUAGCUUACUUUGGUGGGGCAAUCAUGGAAAUCACAGAAGGUGCAUGAGACAGUUGGCAGCACUUUCAGGAUAGGGGAAACCUGGU